rnacentral:rRNA from 1 species
GCUACAGGCUUAACACAUGCAAGUCGAGGGGCAUCAGGAAGAAAGCUUGCUUUCUUUGCUGGCGACCGGCGCACGGGUGAGUAACACGUAUCCAACCUGCCCUUUACUCGGGGAUAGCCUUUCGAAAGAAAGAUUAAUACCCGAUAGCAUAAUGAUUCCGCAUGGUUUCAUUACUAAAGGAUUCCGGUAAAGGAUGGGGAUGCGUUCCAUUAGGUUGUUGGUGGGGUAACGGCCCACCAAGCCUUCGAUGGAUAGGGGUUCUGAGAGGAAGGUCCCCCACAUUGGAACUGAGACACGGUCCAAACUCCUACGGGAGGCAGCAGUGAGGAAUAUUGGUCAAUGGGCGCUAGCCUGAACCAGCCAAGUAGCGUGAAGGAUGAAGGCUCUAUGGGUCGUAAACUUCUUUUAUAUAAGAAUAAAGUGCAGUAUGUAUACUGUUUUGUAUGUAUUAUAUGAAUAAGGAUCGGCUAACUCCGUGCCAGCAGCCGCGGUAAUACGGAGGAUCCGAGCGUUAUCCGGAUUUAUUGGGUUUAAAGGGAGCGUAGGUGGACUGGUAAGUCAGUUGUGAAAGUUUGCGGCUCAACCGUAAAAUUGCAGUUGAUACUGUCAGUCUUGAGUACAGUAGAGGUGGGCGGAAUUCGUGGUGUAGCGGUGAAAUGCUUAGAUAUCACGAAGAACUCCGAUUGCGAAGGCAGCUCACUGGACUGCAACUGACACUGAUGCUCGAAAGUGUGGGUAUCAAACAGGAUUAGAUACCCUGGUAGUCCACACAGUAAACGAUGAAUACUCGCUGUUUGCGAUAUACAGUAAGCGGCCAAGCGAAAGCAUUAAGUAUUCCACCUGGGGAGUACGCCGGCAACGGUGAAACUCAAAGGAAUUGACGGGGGCCCGCACAAGCGGAGGAACAUGUGGUUUAAUUCGAUGAUACGCGAGGAACCUUACCCGGGCUUAAAUUGCAGUGGAAUGAUGUGGAAACAUGUCAGUGAGCAAUCACCGCUGUGAAGGUGCUGCAUGGUUGUCGUCAGCUCGUGCCGUGAGGUGUCGGCUUAAGUGCCAUAACGAGCGCAACCCUUAUCUUUAGUUACUAACAGGUCAUGCUGAGGACUCUAGAGAGACUGCCGUCGUAAGAUGUGAGGAAGGUGGGGAUGACGUCAAAUCAGCACGGCCCUUACGUCCGGGGCUACACACGUGUUACAAUGGGGGGUACAGAAGGCAGCUAGCGGGUGACCGUAUGCUAAUCCCAAAAGCCUCUCUCAGUUCGGAUCGAAGUCUGCAACCCGACUUCGUGAAGCUGGAUUCGCUAGUAAUCGCGCAUCAGCCACGGCGCGGUGAAUACGUUCCCGGGCCUUGUACACACCGCCCGUCAAGCCAUGGGAGCCGGGGGUACCUGAAGUACGUAACCGCAAGGAUCGUCCUAGGGUAAAACUGGUGACUGG